rnacentral:lncRNA from 1 species
UACCGACGGUGAAGAUCUGAUGGUAACUUACUACACGAGCUACCGACAGUAAGACUAUUGUUUGACCUUAUUAAGCAUUUUCUAAUAGCCCAUAAGAAAAUAAAGAAAAAUAACGCAUCACGUAAGCGUAAUUGUAGUCUCUUAAUACGUACUAUAUAAAGAAAUAUUAUACAAAAAGAAUAUAGCAGCGAUGAAAGUAAAUGAUCAAAGUGUAAACCUUUUAGAAGUUAUCUGCAAUUCAGGAUGAAAAUAGUAAAAUUAGUUAAAUUACUUUGCGACUCUGUUAUGUUCUAACUCAACAAUGACAACAUUUUGAUUUGUAUUUGACAAUACCGAUGAAUUUCAAUCGUUCUCUUGACCUAGUUAUUAUACCAGACAAUAGUGAAGUAAAUAUCUAAAUUCUGUUUCUUUAAAUUCAUUUAACUAGUGGAAUAUAUAUAUAUAUAUUAUUUUGUUUUUUAAUUUAAAUCAUGAUUCCUUUCUUCUCUUUUGAAAUUUGUUACAUUUCAUAUAUAGAGUUUUCGUCUACAUUAUUUACUUAAGUACUCUGCUCUACAAUCUCAAUUCCAAUCGAAUACCAUUACUCAGCAAAGAAGAAAACUCCAUUACAGCAUGGGUUCAAGCGAUAGAAGUGUCAUUUUCCUGAAACUAACGAUAUGAAGAUUUAUUUUAACAAUUUCCUCCUUCGAAGAGAUUUAUUGUGAAAUAUUAAUUGAAUCAAAUGCACAGCUUCAAUGAUAAGAUAUAAUUAUAGAUGGAACCUGUUAGAAGAUAAUUUCAAUAAUCUAACAUAAAUAGAAAUGGAAUAUUAUAUUACUCUUAAGAAAUAUUUAGUCAUAGCAUUAAUAUACUUAUUCUUUUAGCAGAGGUUUCAAAUCCUUUCCCAGGAAAAAAGAGCGCAUUAUUUCUAACAUCGAUAAGUAGGAUCAGAGAAUACAAUCAUUAUAAAAGGUUGACGGAGAUUCUUUUUAACUUUAGUUACACUGCAAAGAAACCAGACAUAUAAAUAUCAUAUCUCAAAGUCAAAAAUGAAUGCAUCCUAAUUACUGCAAAGUUAAGUAACAUAAGUAGGGAAAACAUGUUAAAUAAGCAAUUCUUAACGUGUACAAAAUGUAUUGCCAAGCAUUUCACUCGGUAAUUGAAAACAUUAUUAUGCAUUGACUGACAAUAAAUAAUGCAAGAAAGUCUAUUCUUUUUAUGUAAGAAAUUGUCAAAGCAACAAUGUCCUUGAUAAAAAACAUUGAAAUAAUGUCUUAUUUGUGCGAUAAUAGAGAAUAUGAGAAUAAAAUUAACAGACAAUUAUACUCUACUGGGCGUUAAAGUUUUUCAUGUAUUUUUUAAGAUGUAACUCUAGUUUUGUCUUCAUUUCUAAUAAAACUCAUUUAUUAUAUUGAA